rnacentral:lncRNA from 1 species
ACAACUCCCGAAUAGCCCAAAGAAACCACCGAUGACAUGGCUCCUCAAGUGCAAUUGCUUCCGCCUCAUGAGCCGCCACCAUCCCAGAACUGACCUUUGAAAAUCCAUGCAGAAAAGUCCCCGUACUAGACCGGAUUAUGGCACCCAUUCCAUGAGAUUUCUCAGCAUGAAAAACGGCAGCAUCUCAGGUUGCAUUUUAAGAACCCUUCUGCAGGAUGCUGCCGACAGACUCUAGCCCGGUUCACUCCAGUCCUUACCUGAGACGCGCCAACCUUAGAAUUAGCAUCUCGCCAUGAAUGAAGGAACGAUAGCCCAUCCCUUACUGUAAUAUAUGGAGACCAUGUUAUUGAAAACCCUAAUUGAGAAUUACGUUGAUGCCAGAUACUCCAUGAGAGCACAGCAAUUUCAGACGCCUUAUCUUACAAACUAGAAUUCCAAAGAGAAGUCCAGAAUCUACUAUAAGAAUCCGCUCCCAAACCUGCAACAUCCACGUCAUUUUUCUUUUAAAAAUUAUUUGUAUAUGCAGAAUUGUACUUGAGUCUUUAAAUUUUAUAAGUUUAAUUAUUCUUAUAUUUUUUUAUAUUGACAAACUGUCUUUUUCAAAUAUAAUUUUUUUUAUUCA